AUGCGAAGAUUAGGUGGCUCGGGUCUCCCCACCGAUAGCAUUUUUACUGACCCUUGGGUCCUGACUGCUGUUGCAAAAGUGAACGCCAGCGAUUCGGGACCUGUGAAACAGCGCGAAGCUGCCUGCGAAUUCCUUUCCCACAGUGCUGGAUCUAGGGAUCUUGGAGAUGUGUUAAUGCAAGCAUGAGGCUGACCUGUCUCUGUACACCUCUGCAGAAAAAGGGAUUCCUGCGUGUCUUGUUACCAUGCAUCUGUCUUAUGCAACUGAAACUCUUUCUGGAAAGCCGGGCAGAAGUUACAGGCAGGCGUUUUGAAUGUUUUACGCAUUUGGAUUUGGAUCAUUUUGCAAUUCUGAAGUGCUAAUUUCUUCAAAAUUGCCCCCUUGAAACAUCAAGAAAAUGACACAGCUUUUCGAAGGUAGAUCCAAAAUGACAAGAUUUCUAUUUUGGAGGAACUGCUCCCACAGAAAGAUGGCAAUCUGUGUUGGUACAAGGGUGGGAGCUGAGCUGCUGUGAGAAGCCAGCUCCCACUGCUGAAAGUUUGAUACCUGAGAGCUUAGAUGUUCUUUUUAGACUUUUUCAGCAUUGCUCAUGGGAAGGUGGGAUUUUUUCCCUCUCCUGAGUUAAUUCAACCUAUGAAUGUCUGGCAGCACUGUGCCUUGAGUGGAGAUGCUUUAAAAUGCUGAUGCUUUAAAAUACAGCUGAGUAUAUACUUAGGUAUUUUAGGAAGGUGAAAUCCAGGAGCAUCUUAUAUCAUCAUUGAGGCUGACAGCCUCGAGGAGUUUGGGAGUGUUUGCUUCCAGAGAGGUUGGUGGGGUUGAGCCCCCCUUAAAGAUCUCACCUGUGUGUUUAUGGAUUAUUUUUGUGUGCUUGGCUACCAUCAGUCUUACUGUAAGACCCCAGGCUUGAGCUGCGUAGGGCUAUUUUAUAACAAAGUUUCAAAAUACCUAGUUUUACAAUCCAGAGGUUGCUGCUUCACAGCAGGGCCCUGUGUUUUUGCAAACAUUUGGUAUUAAGCUGGAUUUCAAGAGAUUUGUUUAACUUGGUGUCCUGGUUCCAGUUAGGACAGAGUUAAGUAGCUCAUAGUAGCUGGUAGGGUGCUAUGUUUUGGAUUAGGAUGAGAAGAGCGCUGAUAACAUGC
rnacentral:lncRNA from 1 species